GUCAAUGGUAGCUCAGGCGGGGCAGCCUCCGGGCUGGCCGGUAUCCUGUGAAGCCGGUAUUCUCACCCCCGUCUGGGCUAUCGCCAUC
ncrna:Enterobacteria phage P4 C4 antisense RNA